rnacentral:lncRNA from 1 species
UUCAAACUCCAUAGUCAAUGUGCCAUCAUGCAAUCUUAGUUCUAGCAGUACUCAAGAAAGGACAUCCAAGAAGAAUGUCAGAAGUAGUGUUACAACUGUCUUCCUUAGUAUCAAUCACAUAAAAAUCUGCAGGAAAGACAAGUUCAUCUACUUGCACUAGAACAUCUUCUAGCACUCCUAUGGGAUGUACCACAGAUCUGUUAGCCAAUUGGAU